UGCAGUCGAGCGGACAGAAGGGAGCUUGCUCCCGGAUGUUAGCGGCGGACGGGUGAGUAACACGUGGGUAACCUGCCUGUAAGACUGGGAUAACUCCGGGAAACCGGAGCUAAUACCGGAUAGUUCCUUGAACCGCAUGGUUCAAGGAUGAAAGACGGUUUCGGCUGUCACUUACAGAUGGACCCGCGGCGCAUUAGCUAGUUGGUGGGGUAAUGGCUCACCAAGGCGACGAUGCGUAGCCGACCUGAGAGGGUGAUCGGCCACACUGGGACUGAGACACGGCCCAGACUCAUACGGGAGGCAGCAGUAGGGAAUCUUCCGCAAUGGACGAAAGUCUGACGGAGCAACGCCGCGUGAGUGAUGAAGGUUUUCGGAUCGUAAAGCUCUGUUGUUAGGGAAGAACAAGUGCGAGAGUAACUGCUCGCACCUUGACGGUACCUAACCAGAAAGCCACGGCUAACUACGUGCCAGCAGCCGCGGUAAUACGUAGGUGGCAAGCGUUGUCCGGAAUUAUUGGGCGUAAAGGGCUCGCAGGCGGUUUCUUAAGUCUGAUGUGAAAGCCCCCGGCUCAACCGGGGAGGGUCAUUGGAAACUGGGGAAACUUGAGUGCAGAAGAGGAGAGUGGAAUUCACGUGUAGCGGUGAAAUGCGUAGAGAUGUGGAGGAACACCAGUGGCGAAGGCGACUCUCUGGUCUGUAACUGACGCUGAGGAGCGAAAGCGUGGGGAGCGAACAGGAUUAGAUACCCUGGUAGUCCACGCCGUAAACGAUGAGUGCUAAGUGUUAGGGGGUUUCCGCCCCUUAGUGCUGCAGCUAACGCAUUAAGCACUCCGCCUGGGGAGUACGGUCGCAAGACUGAAACUCAAAGGAAUUGACGGGGGCCCGCACAAGCGGUGGAGCAUGUGGUUUAAUUCGAAGCAACGCGAAGAACCUUACCAGGUCUUGACAUCCUCUGACAACCCUAGAGAUAGGGCUUUCCCUUCGGGGACAGAGUGACAGGUGGUGCAUGGUUGUCGUCAGCUCGUGUCGUGAGAUGUUGGGUUAAGUCCCGCAACGAGCGCAACCCUUGAUCUUAGUUGCCAGCAUUCAGUUGGGCACUCUAAGGUGACUGCCGGUGACAAACCGGAGGAAGGUGGGGAUGACGUCAAAUCAUCAUGCCCCUUAUGACCUGGGCUACACACGUGCUACAAUGGACAGAACAAAGGGCUGCAAGACCGCAAGGUUUAGCCAAUCCCAUAAAUCUGUUCUCAGUUCGGAUCGCAGUCUGCAACUCGACUGCGUGAAGCUGGAAUCGCUAGUAAUCGCGGAUCAGCAUGCCGCGGUGAAUACGUUCCCGGGCCUUGUACACACCGCCCGUCACACCACGAGAGUUUGCAACACCCGAAGUCGGUGAGGUAACC
rnacentral:rRNA from 1 species